rnacentral:rRNA from 1 species
GGGUUGUGAGGUUAAGUGACUAAGCGUACACGGUGGAUGCCUAGGCAGUCAGAGGCGAUGAAGGGCGUGCUAAUCUGCGAAAAGCGUCGGUAAGGUGAUAUGAACCGUUAUA